rnacentral:rRNA from 1 species
AUUGAACGCUGGCGGCAUGCCUUACACAUGCAAGUCGAACGGUAACAGGUUAAGCUGACGAGUGGCGAACGGGUGAGUAAUGUAUCGGAACGUGCCCAGUCGUGGGGGAUAACUGCUUGAAAGAGCAGCUAAUACCGCAUACGACCUGAGGGUGAAAGCGGGGGAUCGCAAGACCUCGCGCGAUUGGAGCGGCCGAUAUCAGAUUAGGUAGUUGGUGAGGUAAAGGCUCACCAAGCCGACGAUCUGUAGCUGGUCUGAGAGGACGACCAGCCACACUGGGACUGAGAAACGGCCCAGACUCCUACGGGAGGCAGCAGUGGGGAAUUUUGGACAAUGGGCGCAAGCCUGAUCCAGCCAUGCCGCGUGCGGGAAGAAGGCCUUCGGGUUGUAAACCGCUUUUGUCAGGGAAGAAAAGGUUCUGGCUAAUACCUGGGACUCAUGACGGUACCUGAAGAAUAAGCACCGGCUAACUACGUG